rnacentral:rRNA from 1 species
AGUGAACGCUGGCGGCAGGCCUAACACAUGCAAGUCGAGCGGCAGCGGGUCCUUCGGGAUGCCGGCGAGCGGCGGACGGGUGAGGAAUGCGUCGGAAUCUGCCUUUUUGUGGGGGAUAACGUAGGGAAACUUACGCUAAUACCGCAUACGACCUACGGGUGAAAGUGGGGGACCGCAAGGCCUCACGCAGAAAGAUGAGCCGACGCCGGAUUAGCUAGUUGGCGGGGUAAGGGCCCACCAAGGCGACGAUCCGUAGCUGGUCUGAGAGGAUGAUCAGCCACACUGGAACUGAGACACGGUCCAGACUCCUACGGGAGGCAGCAGUGGGGAAUAUUGGACAAUGGGCGCAAGCCUGAUCCAGCCAUGCCGCGUGUGUGAAGAAGGCCUUCGGGUUGUAAAGCACUUUUGUCCGGAAAGAAAUCCAAUCGAUUAAUACUCGGUUGGGAUGACGGUACCGGAAGAGUAAGCACCGGCUAACUUCGUGCCAGCCGCCGCCGUAACAC